CACGCGUUAGACGAACGGUCUGGAAAGUCCGACGAUACAGGGUGAUAGUCCCGUAGUUGACGAUGUGUGUUCAGUGAAAUCGAGUAGGGCGGGACACGUGAUAUCCUGUCUGAAUAUGGGGGGACCAUCCUCCAAGGCUAAAUACUACUGACUGACCGAUAGUGAACCAGUACCGUGAGGGAAAGGCGAAAAGAACCCCUGUGAGGGGAGUGAAAUAGAACCUGAAACCGUGUACGUACAAGCAGUAGGAGCAGGCUUUGUCCUGUGACUGCGUACCUUUUGUAUAAUGGGUCAGCGACUUAUAUUCAGUGGCAAGGUUAACCAUCUAGGGGAGCCGUAGGGAAACCGAGUCUUAACUGGGCGUUCAGUCUCUGGAUAUAGACCCGAAACCAGGUGAUCUAGCCAUGGGCAGGUUGAAGGUUGAGUAACAUCAACUGGAGGACCGAACCGACUAAUGUUGAAAAAUUAGCGGAUGACUUGUGGCUAGGGGUGAAAGGCCAAUCAAACCUGGAGAUAGCUGGUUCUCCCCGAAAGCUAUUUAGGUAGCGCCUCGGACGAAUACUACUGGGGGUAGAGCACUGUUAAGGCUAGGGGGUCAUCCCGACUUACCAACCCUUUGCAAACUCCGAAUACCAGUAAGUACUAUCCGGGAGACACACGGCGGGUGCUAACGUCCGUCGUGGAGAGGGAAACAACCCAGACCGCCAGCUAAGGUCCCAAAUUACUACUAAGUGGGAAACGAUGUGGGAAGGCUCAGACAGCCAGGA
rnacentral:rRNA from 1 species